rnacentral:rRNA from 1 species
UACGUAGGGGGCAAGCGUUGUCCGGAAUUACUGGGCGUAAAGAGCUCGUAGGUGGUUUGUCGCGUUGUUCGUGAAAACUCACAGCUCAACUGUGGGCGUGCGGGCGAUACGGGCAGACUGGAGUACUGCAGGGGAGACUGGAAUUCCUGGUGUAGCGGUGGAAUGCGCAGAUAUCAGGAGGAACACCGAUUGCGAAGGCAGCUCGCUGGGACGUCACUGACGCUGAGACGCGAAAGCGUGGGGAGCAAACAGG